AAAGUACUCCCUCCGUCCCAAAAUUCUUGUCUUAGAUUUGUCUAGAUACGGAUAUAUCAAGUAACAUUUUAGUAUUAGAUACAUCCGUAUCUAGACAAAUCUAAGACAAGGAAUUUGGAACAGAGGAGUAGUUG
rfam:Triticum aestivum genome assembly, contig: Triticum_aestivum_CS42_TGACv1_scaffold_220857_3B